CCCCGUGUGGUCUAGUGGUUAGGAUUCCUGACUUUCACCCAGGCUCGAUUCCCGGCAUGGGAA
rnacentral:tRNA from 1 species